GGGGCUGCAUUGGUUUCGACGUGGGUUCGGACGCGGUGUGGUGCAUGUCGAGCUGAGUGUGCUCGUAAAACUGAUUCAAACAAACUAACUGCAAACGACGAACGUUUCGCACUCGCUGCUUAAUUGCCAGUGAGCUUUACAACAGCAGGCCGAUGGGCUGGGCAAGGGGUGUUUAGCGCAAGUUGAACGCUCCCGGCUGUAAAGAUAAUUUCAUCGGCUGGCUCC
rnacentral:tmRNA from 1 species